AGCGAACGCUGGCGGCAGGCCUAACACAUGCAAGUCGAACGGACCCUUCGGGGUUAGUGGCGGACGGGUGAGUAACACGUGGGAACGUGCCUUUAGGUUCGGAAUAGCUCCUGGAAACGGGUGGCAAUGCCGAAUGUGCCCUUCGGGGGAAAGAUUUAUCGCCUUUAGAGCGGCCCGCGUCUGAUUAGCUAGUUGGUGAGGUAACGGCUCACCAAGGCGACGAUCAGUAGCUAGUCUGAGAGGAUGACCAGCCACACUGGGACUGAGACACGGCCCAGACUCCUACGGGAGGCAGCAGUGGGGAAUCUUGCGCAAUGGGCGAAAGCCUGACGCAGCCAUGCCGCGUGAAUGAUGAAGGUCUUAGGAUUGUAAAAUUCUUUCACCGGGGACGAUAAUGACGGUACCCGGAGAAGAAGCCCCGGCUAACUUCGUGCCAGCCGCCGCAGUAA
rnacentral:rRNA from 1 species